AUGGCGGGGUCAGCUCGCCGGCGCGCGCUCCUCCUGCUCCUCCUCGCGUCCUCCUUGUGCGCCUGCUCGGGGGCGGAGCCGCUGGCCGCUGAGCGGACGCGCCGGAAGGACCCCCUGGACGGGCUCCGGCCCUACGCCGGCGGCUGGAACAUCAGCGACAGGCACUACAUCGCCUCGGUGGCCUUCAGCGCGGCGCCGGUGUUCGCGGCCGCGGCGGUCUGGCUCGUCGGCUUCGCCCUGGCGGCGCUCGUGGCCUGCUGCUGCCGGUGCUGCCGCGGCAGCCCCACCAGGGACGACGACUACUCCUACUCGCGCGGGACCUUCGCCGCCUCCCUCCUCCUCCUCCUCGCCUUCACCGCCGCCGCCAUCAUCGGGUGCGCGGUGCUGUACGACGGGCAGGCCAAGCUGGACGGCAGCACGUCGGCGACGCUGCGCUACGUGGUGCGCCAGUCGGACGGCGCGGCGGCGAGCCUCCGGGGGUUCGCCGGGUUCAUCGAGACGGCCAAGGCGUCCGGCGGCGCCGCCAUGCCGCGCGACCUCGGGGCCAAGGUCGACCAGGUCGCCAGCAGGGUGGGCGCCGCGGCCGACGAGCUCGCCGCGCGCACCGCCAGCAACGCCCGCAAGAUCCGGACCGUGCUCGACACCACAAGGAAGAUCCUGAUCGGCGUCUCGGCCGUGAUGCUGGUGCUGGCGUUCCUGGGCCUCGUGUUCUCGUUGGCUGGCCUGAGCUCAGUCGUUCGCUUCCUAGUGUUACUGGGAUGGAUCCUCGUUACCGCAACAUUUAUAUUGGGCGGCGUUUUCCUUCUCUUGCACAACGCGGUCGGGGACACGUGCGUGGCCAUGGAGGAAUGGGUGCUCCGCCCGCCGGGCAGCAGCAACAGCACCGCCCUGGACGACAUCCUCCCGUGCGCCGACGCGGCGGCGACCUCGGAGGCGCUGCGCCGGAGCAAGGAGGUGAACCACCAGCUGGUGGCCACCCUCAACGACGUGCUCGCCAACGUCUCCAACGCCAACACCUUCCCGCCGGGCGCCGGCCCGCCCCUCAACUACAACCAGUCCGGCCCGCCGGUGCCGCUGCUCUGCAGCCCCUACCGCGCCGACCUCUCCGACCGCCCCUGCGCCGCCGGCGAGGUGCCGGCCGCCUUCGCGCCGCAGGCGUGGCGGGGCCACGUGUGCCAGGCGGCGGGCGCGCCGGGGCAGGAGACGUGCGCGACGCCCGGGCGGCUCACGCCGUCGAUGUACGCCCAGGCGCUGGCGGUGGCGAACGCCAGCGCGGGGCUGGUGGGCUACGGGCCGGCGCUCGCGGGGCUGGCGGACUGCACGUUCGUGCGGCGGACGUUCGAGGCCGUGGUCGCCGACGGCUGCCCCGGGCUGCGGCGGCACAGCGGCCGGGUGUACCGGGCGCUGGCGGCCGUGGCCGUGGCGGUGGCCGCGGCCGUGGCGGCGUGGGUGGUGCACACCAGGGAGCGGCGGCGGCGGCGCGAGGCCGUGCGGUUCCGGGUGUCGCCGUACCGGCUCCCCAUCGAGGACAAGUCGCUGCUCAAGAGCCCCCGCCGGCCCUACCGGCGCGCCGAGAGCGGCGGGCUCAUCGGCAAAGGCGGCUGGUGA
rnacentral:rRNA from 1 species